GAAUUCAUUUUCAGAAAUAGGCCUGAAUUGCUUGUUAAUUUCAUUACAGGAAGUAACUCUAAAAGCCAAUUCCACUUCCAAACUAUUAAUUACCAUCAUUUGAAUUUAACAGGGAAAGACGUCUUCCAAGACUUCUUUUGGGUGGAUGCUUAGUUUUAGAAUAGCCAACUUUACCGUAACCCAUGUACAAGACAGUUCUCCAGGUGGCCUUGGACUGACCCAGUUCUCCCUUCUUCCUUGCUUGUAGUUCUUAAGAAUAACUGUAGAAUGCACUAGGAAUGCAAUAUCCUGAUAUGGAGGAACUGCCUGAAACAGGUUGGCCUUGUUGUUGUCACUCCUAGGGAAUGUAACAUCUUGAUUUAGGGAGGAACUGUUUGAGACAGCGAGGUUGUGUUCCUCCCUCCCCUGGAAGGAGGAUGUACUUUAAAGCUUUGCCCAAUGAGUUAUGUGGCUCCUAUGGUAUAUAACCCAAGGCAGGCUGUGGUGCAAGUGGGGCACGUACAGUCAAGACUCCAUCAGCCCCGCCCUGGGCAGCUUUCUUGAGCCCUGGGAGACUGGCUCACAAUGGAGCCAGGGCCUCUUUUGUCCCUUGCUUCCUGUCUGUAAGUAAUAAAUCUGCUUCAUGUAAUGUAUUGGGUGUGAGUGUGUUCUGUCACAAUGGAAUCAGACAGGUUGGUAACCAGUGUACACUGAACCUGCUUGGCACCAUGUAGCCCUGGGAAAGAAGAAAGGCGGUUACGGCUUGCCCUAUAUGGUGAUGCCAGCAGACUGUGCACUGUACUGUGCAACAGAAAAAGGUGCACUGAGGAGGAUCAGCUGCUUCUUCCCAUUGUUGCUUCUUUAGUAAAUCUCCUAUGAGUUUUUAGUCGCUUUCUAAUCUACAAGUUAAAGGAUAUCUCAUUAAUUUUACAGACAUAUACAUAUACUGUAACAAUAGGAAGGAAGUCUUUCACCAACCACUAAUAUCGUAAAGAAAGGGUUGUAUUGAUCUAGUAUUAUUUAAUGAAGAUGGACAGCAAUUUUAAUACAAUCUUCUUUUCCAAGACCUUUGACAGACCUUAGGCCCAUUUUCCACCUUUAUGUCUAGUAAAGUACAAGUAAAACACUUCUGAGGGCAUAAAAAACACAAGCUUCUUGUUAAGGUGUAUCAGUAGCCAGGGAAAUCCGCUGUGCCCCUUUGAGGGUCAUCUAACUAAGGCAUGGAGAGAGAAACUGCCUCAAGCCAGUUUCUAUCACCUCUGCAGGGAAGCUGGCCAUGCAAACCAGGACAUGGUUCAAAGUGAAAAAGAAUGUGGUUAAUAAUCAUGCCAGAACACCCGGUAUAAGAUGUAAGGGCAAGUCAGGCAUUCUGUACAUUGCUUCUCCCUUCAAUUUGGAAAACUCACUGCAGUAGGGUUUUGACUUAUCGUUUCACAAGACAGCUAGGAAGGCCAGGCGCGGUGGCUCAUGCCUUGUAAUCCCAGCACUUUGGGAGGCCAAGACGGGUGGAUCACGAGGUCAGAUCGAGACCAUCCUGGCUAACACAGUAAAACCCUGUCUCUACUUAAAAUACAAAAAAUAACCGGGCGUGGUGGCGGGCGCCUGUAGUCCCAGCUACUCGGGAGGCUGAGGCAGGAGAAUGGUGUGAACCCGGGAGGCGGAGCUUGCACUGAGCCAAGAUCGCGCCACUGCACUUCAGCCCAGGCGACAGCGAGACUCUGUCUCAAAAAAAUAAAAAAAUAAAAAUAAAAAUAAAAAACAAGACAGCUAGGAGGAAAGCCUGUGUGCUCUGGAAAAUGCAUAUCUUGUGUGUUUACCCUUUUAAAGGUAACUAUACUUUGAAACAGAUGAACUGCAGAAAGUUAACAAAGACUUCUUUUUUUUUUUACCGUGUUUACCUUUCUA
rnacentral:antisense_RNA from 1 species